AAAAAACAGAGCAUUAGUUCUCUAACUCUGUUCUUCCUCCAUCAACCACCUCCAGACGUCGGAUCACUCCCUUUGGCUUCGCCUGAGGCUGCUCUACCUACUGGACGUCGUCUUUUUCCCCGGCACAGCCUCAAGGUCCGGCAAACCAGCUCGACCCGGUUGCACCCGAAAACGAACCAACUCAUCCUCCUCGUGUUUCCGGCCACCAAUUCCCCCCAAACUUCAUCCUCGAGCUCGUCUCAACGUCCUGAAGCUCCUAGAAGUGGCCUUGCACGGCGGCGCUACUCGUGGUGGCGGCUGGAAGCCAGACCCGAUCAAAUCGAAAACCGAAGCUUCGAGCAAUAUAUCUCGCGCUACAGGACGUUGUUUUGAGUGUUUCUUGAACUGGUGAACUCAGAGUGAGGAUCUGAACAACUUUCCAGAAGGUAUCGAGGCCUGAAGUUGCAGUUUUUACGUCGAACUAGGAGCUCGCCGGUUUCUGGGUUUUUCCGGCCAACCGACUGGUUUGAGGUGAUCGACGGUUUGAUUUGGCGGACGAUUCGUGAAAGUGUAUUUUGAGCUGUUAAGAAGACGCAGCGGGAAUUUAGAGCGGGUAAUCCUACAGGUCAGGAGAACCAGGACGGUGAUCGGGCUGCUUAGAGUAGUGUUAUGUGAAUUACAGCAUUAUAUUGUGAGGUUUGUUAUGCUCAUUUAGAGCUUUACAAUUUUACCUUGUAAGAGUGAAUUGUAAUAAUUAACUCGAGGUUUUCGAGUUUUGUGUU